CGAACGGGUGAGUAACGCGUGAGGAACCUGCCUCAAAGAGGGGGACAACAGUUGGAAACGACUGCUAAUACCGCAUAAGCCCACGGCUCGGCAUCGAGCAGAGGGAAAAGGAGUGAUCCGCUUUGAGAUGGCCUCGCGUCCGAUUAGCUGGUUGGUGAGGUAAUGGCCCACCAAGGCGACGAUCGGUAGCCGGACUGAGAGGUUGAACGGCCACAUUGGGACUGAGACACGGCCCAG
rnacentral:rRNA from 1 species